UACGUAGGGUGCGAGCGUUGUCCGGAAUUAUUGGGCGUAAAGAGCUUGUAGGUGGUUUGUCGCGUCUGCUGUGAAAAUCCGAGGCUCAACCUCGGACUUGCAGUGGGUACGGGCAGACUAGAGUCCGGAAGAGGAGAAUGGAAUUCCUGGUGUAGCGGUGAAAUGCGCAGAUAUCAGGAGGAACACCGAUGGCGAAGGCAGGUCUCUGGGCCACUACUGACGCUGAGAAGCGAAAGCAUGGGGAGCAAACAGG
rnacentral:rRNA from 1 species